UACGUAGGUGGCAAGCGUUGUCCGGAAUUAUUGGGCGUAAAGCGCGCGCAGGCGGUCCUUUAAGUCUGAUGUGAAAGCCCACGGCUCAACCGUGGAGGGUCAUUGGAAACUGAGGGACUUGAGUGCAGAAGAGGAAAGCGGAAUUCCACGUGUAGCGGUGAAAUGCGUAGAGAUGUGGAGGAACACCAGUGGCGAAGGCGGCUUUCUGGUCUGUAACUGACGCUGAGGCGCGAAAGCGUGGGGAGCAAACAG
rnacentral:rRNA from 1 species